UACAGAGGUCUCAAGCGUUGUUCGGAUUCAUUGGGCGUAAAGGGUGUGUAGGUGGCGCCGCAAGUCGGGUGUGAAAUUUCGGAGCUUAACUCCGAAACUGCAUUCGAUACUGCGGUGCUUGAGGACUGGAGAGGAGACUGGAAUUCAUGGUGUAGCAGUGAAAUGCGUAGAGAUCAUGAGGAAGACCAGUGGCGAAGGCGGGUCUCUGGACAGUUCCUGACACUGAGACACGAAGGCCAGGGGAGCAAACGGG
rnacentral:rRNA from 1 species